rnacentral:rRNA from 1 species
UACGGGGGGGGCAAGCGUUGUUCGGAAUUACUGGGCGUAAAGGGCUCGUAGGCGGCCAACUAAGUCGGACGUGAAAUCCCUCGGCUUAACCGGGGAACUGCGUCCGAUACUGGAUGGCUUGAGUUUGGGAGAGGGAUGCGGAAUUCCAGGUGUAGCGGUGAAAUGCGUAGAUAUCUGGAGGAACACCGGUGGCGAAGGCGGCAUCCUGGACCAACACUGACGCUGAGGAGCGAAAGCCAGGGGAGCGAACGGG